rnacentral:rRNA from 1 species
CCGCACAAGCGGUGGAGCAUGUGGUUUAAUUCGACGCAACGCGAAGAACCUUACCAGGGCUUGACAUCCCCUGACCGCGUAUGAAAGUACGUUUUCACCCUCGGGUGACAGGGAGACAGGUGGUGCAUGGUUGUCGUCAGCUCGUGUCGUGAGAUGUUGGGUUAAGUCCCGCAACGAGCGCAACCCCUACGUUUAGUUGCUAACGCGUGAAGGCGAGCACUCUAGACGAACUGCCGUUGACAAAACGGAGGAAGGUGGGAUGACGUCAAAUCAUCAUGCCCCUUAUGUUCUGGGCUACACACGUGCUACAAUGGCCGGUACAGACGGAGGCGAAGCCGCGAGGCGGAGCAAAUCCGAAAAAGCCGGUCUCAGUUCGGAUUGCAGGCUGCAAUUCGCCUGCAUGAAGUCGGAAUCGCUAGUAAUCGCAGGUCAGCAUACUGCGGUGAAUACGUUCCCGGGCCUU